GAUGAACGCUGGCGGCGUGCCUAAUACAUGCAAGUCGAGCGAACAGACGAGGAGCUUGCUCCUCUGACGUUAGCGGCGGACAGGUGAGUAACACGUGGAUAACCUACCUAUAAGACUGGGAUAACUUCGGGAAACCGGAGCUAAUACCGGAUAAUAUAUUGAACCGCAUGGUUCAAUAGUGAAAGACGGUUUUGCUGUCACUUAUAGAUGGAUCCGCGCCGCAUUAGCUAGUUGGUAAGGUAACGGCUUACCAAGGCAACGAUGCGUAGCCGACCUGAGAGGGUGAUCGGCCGCACUGGAACUGAGACACGGUCCAGACUCCUACGGGAGGCAGCAGUAGGGAAUCUUCCGCAAUGGGCGAAAGCCUGACGGAGCAACGCCGCGUGAGUGAUGAAGGUCUUCGGAUCGUAAAACUCUGUUAUUAGGGAAGAACAAAUGUGUAAGUAACUAUGCACGUCUUGACGGUACCUAAUCAGAAAGCCACGGCUAACUACGUG
rnacentral:rRNA from 1 species